rnacentral:rRNA from 1 species
UGGAUCCAGACUUUGAUUCUGGCUCAGGAUGAACGCUGGCGGCGUGCCUAACACAUGCAAGUCGAGCGAGAAGCUCUUGAACGAUUCUUCGGAAAAGUGAUAGAGUGGAAAGCGGCGGACGGGUGAGUAACGCGUAGGCAACCUGCCCUUUGCACAGGGAUAGCCAUUGGAAACGAUGAUUAAAACCUGAUAACACCAUUUUAUCACAUGGAAAGAUGGUCAAAGAUUUAUCGGCAAAGGAUGGGCCUGCGUCUGAUUAGCUAGUUGGUGAGGUAACGGCUCACCAAGGCGACGAUCAGUAGCCGACCUGAGAGGGUGAUCGGCCACAUUGGAACUGAGACACGGUCCAAACUCCUACGGGAGGCAGCAGUGGGGAAUAUUGCACAAUGGGCGAAAGCCUGAUGCAGCAACGCCGCGUGAAGGAAGAAGGCCUUCGGGUCGUAAACUUCUGUCCUUGGGGAAGAAGAACUGACGGUACCCAAGGAGGAAGCCCCGGCUAACUACGUGCCAGCAGCCGCGGUAAUACGUAGGGGGCAAGCGUUAUCCGGAAUUAUUGGGCGUAAAGAGUACGUAGGUGGCAACCUAAGCGCAGGGUUUAAGGCAAUGGCUUAACCAUUGUUCGCCCUGCGAACUGGGAUGCUUGAGUGCAGGAGAGGAAAGCGGAAUUCCUAGUGUAGCGGUGAAAUGCGUAGAUAUUAGGAGGAACACCAGUGGCGAAGGCGGCUUUCUGGACUGUAACUGACACUGAGGUACGAAAGCGUGGGGAGCAAACAGGAUUAGAUACCCUGGUAGUCCACGCCGUAAACGAUGAGCACUAGGUGUCGGGGUCGCAAGACUUCGGUGCCGUAGUUAACGCAUUAAGUGCUCCGCCUGGGGAGUACGCACGCAAGUGUGCAACUCAAAGGAAUUGACGGA